AGAGUUUGAUCCUGGCUCAGGAUGAACGCUAGCGACAGGCCUAACACAUGCAAGUCGAGGGGAAACGACAUCGAAAGCUUGCUUUUGAUGGGCGUCGACCGGCGCACGGGUGAGUAACGCGUAUCCAACCUGCCCACCACUUGGGGAUAACCUUGCGAAAGUAAGACUAAUACCAAAUGAUAUCUCUAGAAGACAUCUGAAAGAGAUUAAAGAUUUAUCGGUGAUGGAUGGGGAUGCGUCUGAUUAGCUUGUUGGCGGGGUAACGGCCCACCAAGGCGACGAUCAGUAGGGGUUCUGAGAGGAAGGUCCCCCACAUUGGAACUGAGACACGGUCCAAACUCCUACGGGAGGCAGCA
rnacentral:rRNA from 1 species